CCCAGAAGACCCAGUCAAAAGUUGAAAGCCUUGAACUCACUACAAGUCCCUAUGAGGAAGCCAGAGAAUCUACGAAAGCCUGGAGAUAGCCAUCCAAAUGUGAUAGUGAAGAUCAGAGCACCUUCAAAGAAGCAGAAGUGGGACUUCCUUCUGACCUUUGUAGUCCAUCCAGGCAACAAGUCUAUAUGUUGAUGCCACCUGCACCAGAUCUUCAGAAAAGAUCAUCUAUUGUGUGCGACAAAGAAAGGAAAGCUGAAAAUUCACCAGUGUGAUGAUCUUAAAAUUUCCUUCGGUUCCUGAGGCUUCAAGACUCUGUGUCUGGAAAAGCUGCAGAGCUUCAGCUGGGAGAUGGCUGUACACAGCUGCCAGAGGGUUAGGAAAAGUGUAGCUGAUGAGGAAUGGCUUGGCCACAAGUUCUCAAAAAGGGAAAGUGGGGGUUGGUUAGUAAAUAAGCAAGCCAAGGUAGAGUAAAAGUAAAGCCUGACUACAUGGAAGCAAACAAGAGACUGACUUUUGUUAAUAAAAUCAAGACCCUCCUGCUCCUGA